rnacentral:rRNA from 1 species
UACAGAGGGGGCAAGCGUUGUUCGGAAUUACUGGGCGUAAAGGGCGCGUAGGCGGCCUUCUAAGUCGAACGUGAAAUCCCCGGGCUCAACCCGGGAACUGCGUCCGAUACUGGAAGGCUUGAAUCCGGGAGAGGGAUGUGGAAUUCCAGGUGUAGCGGUGAAAUGCGUAGAUAUUAGGAAGAACACCAGUGGCGAAGGCGGCUCACUGGUCCGGUACUGACGCUGAGGUGCGAAAGCGUGGGGAGCAAACAGG